rnacentral:lncRNA from 1 species
AUGGGCCAGGAAUCCGCCGGGCGCGCGUCACGCACCUCCACAAAAGGGAGGAGAGCGAUUGUAAAGUGGAAAUCUUUGUCGUACCACACUCGGAAUUCACUUUUGCUUUGAGUUUAGAGAGUGCAUCCGACGAGAACCGGAAGAUUCUUUCCCUUAACAAUGGGUAGUCCGAUCUAUCAAUGAAUUGGUCUUCAUGGGUAAACGGUAGGCUAACAACCGGGUCGGAUCCUACCGGAAUCCACCUGUCCAGAAUCGGUGGACGUGAGAUGUUUUGACUUUUGGAAUUGAAAUUUUCCGACCAGGAGUUGAUGAAAUGCCAAUACGAGGUUCCAUCAACUAACAUGUGGUUGACGGAGCAUCCUAUAAAGAUACCGUCUACAAGUUCUGUCACUUUUACGGACAACAACGAGAGCUCGUGACCGUCGUUAUUGACAGCUUGGUGAUGAUCGAAAAACGUCUGAACAACCAACGGCACGUCCGUGGGUUUAAGGAUAUCCGCCACGGUUAAAUUAACAGACGAAUGGAUAAAUCUAGCUCCGGGGCUAUUCUCAGGGUUCAGAAAGACGGUUAAAGAAGGCGGGUUUUCGUGUUUGACGGUGGCUAAACGGGCAGCGAGCGGGUGGAAAUGAGUAAGGGUGGCGGAAAGAGAGUGUUUGAGGUCAUCCAAGAAGGUGGUAAUGGAGAAAUCUUGAUUUUCUGGUAACCGGAAAAGGAGACCCUUUUGAAUGUAAUUCAAAGAAAUCAUGAUGAGAUCCCAUGGAGAGAAGUAAAUGGGUUUCUUUGGUUCUUCAGAGAUGAAUUUGGGCUUCACGAAGCAAUCCGAGAUGAUUUCAAUGUUUGGAGAAUUCAUUGAAUAAACUUAAGGAUAAUCAUGACCUCUUAGCUGUGGAUUAGAAUAAACUUAAGGUGACGAUGAAUAAUGAGCGUAAUAGACUUUGUCUUUUCUUGUGAUUUUUAUAUUUUGUUGUCUUGUAUUAUUGAGGAUAAUCAUGACCUCUUAGCAAUAUUUUAAAAAUUAGACUAGUUCUGGCUUAGAAAUGAUUGAACCAGGUUGUAUCGGACGGUCUAACCAGAUUGAAUUGUUAAUCCUUUAAUUCAUUAAUAUAAAACUUUAAGUUU